AGAUUGAACGCUGGCGGCAGGCCUAACACAUGCAAGUCGAGCGGUAGAGAGGUGCUUGCACCUCUUGAGAGCGGCGGACGGGUGAGUAAUGCCUAGGAAUCUGCCUAGUGGUGGGGGAUAACGUUCGGAAACGGACGCUAAUACCGCAUACGUCCUACGGGAGAAAGCGGGGGACCUUCGGGCCUCGCGCCAUUAGAUGAGCCUAGGUCGGAUUAGCUAGUUGGUGAGGGUAAUGGCUCACCAAGGCGACGAUCCGUAACUGGUCUGAGAGGAUGAUCAGUCACACUGGAACUGAGACACGGUCCAGACUCCUACGGGAGGCAGCAGUGGGGAAUAUUGGACAAUGGGCGAAAGCCUGAUCCAGCCAUGCCGCGUGUGUGAAGAAGGUCUUCGGAUUGUAAAGCACUUUAAGUUGGAGGAAGGUUGUAACUUAAUACGUUGCAACUUUGACGUUACCGACAGAAUAAGCACCGGCUAACUUCGUGCCAGCAGCCG
rnacentral:rRNA from 1 species